GUCCACGCCGUAAACGAUGGAUACUUGUUGUUGGAGGUAUUGACCCCUCCAGUGACGAAGCAAACGCGUUAAGUAUCCCGCCUGGGGAGUACGGUCGCAAGAUUAAAACUCAAAGAAAUUGACGGGGCCCGCACAAGCGGUGGAGCAUGUGGUUCAAUUCGAUGCAACGCGAAAACCUUACCUGGGUUUGACAUGUACUGGAAGGAUCCCAGAAAUGGGUCCGCCUUCGGGCCGGUACACAGGUGCUGCAUGGCUGUCGU
rnacentral:rRNA from 1 species